CACUCCUACGGGAGGCAGCAGUGGGGAAUUUUGGACAAUGGGCGAAAGCCUGAUCCAGCCAUGCCGCGUGCAGGAUGAAGGCCUUCGGGUUGUAAACUGCUUUUGUACGGAACGAAACGGCCUUUUCUAAUAAAGAGGGCUAAUGACGGUACCGUAAGAAUAAGCACCGGCUAACUACGUGCCAGCAGCCGCGGUAAUACGUAGGGUGCAAGCGUUAAUCGGAAUUACUGGGCGUAAAGCGUGCGCAGGCGGUUAUGUAAGACAGUUGUGAAAUCCCCGGGCUCAACCUGGGAACUGCAUCUGUGACUGCAUAGCUAGAGUACGGUAGAGGGGGAUGGAAUUCCGCGUGUAGCAGUGAAAUGCGUAGAUAUGCGGAGGAACACCGAUGGCGAAGGCAAUCCCCUGGACCUGUACUGACGCUCAUGCACGAAAGCGUGGGGAGCAAACAGGAUUAGAUACCCGAGUAGUCC
rnacentral:rRNA from 1 species